rnacentral:rRNA from 1 species
AGAGUUUGAUUAUGGCUCAGAACGAACGCUGGCGGCGCGUUUUAAGCAUGCAAGUCGAACGGUAGAAAGGUGCUUGCACCUUUUGAGAGUGGCGAAUGGGUGAGUAACACGUAGAUAAUCUGCCUUUGGAUUGGGGAUAGCAUAUGGAAACAUGUGGUAAUACCGAAUAAGAUCUUUGCAUCAAAAGAUGUAUAGAGGAAAGGUGCUUAGGCACCGUCCGAAGAUGAGUCUGCGGUUCAUUAGCUAGUUGGUGGGGUAAGAGCCUACCAAGGCAACGAUGAAUAGCCGGCCUGAGAGGGUGGACGGCCACACUGGGACUGAGACACGGCCCAGACUCCUACGGGAGGCAGCAGCUAAGAAUCUUCCGCAAUGGGGGAAACCCUGACGGAGCGACGCCGCGUGAACGAUGAAGGCGGAAACGUUGUAAAGUUCUUUUCUUGGGGAGGAAUAAGUCUGGUAGGUAAUGACCGGAUGAUGACGUUAACCAAGGAAUAAGCCCCGGCUAAUUACGUGCCAGCAGCCGCGGUAACACGUAAGGGGCAAGCGUUGUUCGGAAUUAUUGGGCGUAAAGGGCGCGUAGGCGGUUUUACAAGUCUGGUGUGAAAUACCUCAGCUUAACUGAGGGACCGCGCUGGAAAACUGUAAGACUAGAAUCUAGGAGGGGAAGCUGGAAUUCCUGGUGUAGGGGUGAAAUCUGUAGAUAUCAGGAAGAACACCGGUGGCGAAGGCGAGCUUCUGGCCAUA